ACAGCUGAAACGGCUGAAACAUCGGGAAGAAACGGAGGAGACCUAUAUUAACAAGACCUCGUCGUGGAUAGUCGUUAAGGACAGGGGUUUUGAAGACCUUGACAAGGCUGCCUACAGACGCCCUAAGGACAGCAAAUUCAUUUGCCGUGUUUGACGACAAGUGCUGUGGUGAGCCUGCAGUUCACUCGAAACGGAAAUCGGCGAGGAGCGGCGAAGCGCAGACCCCUCAGGCUGCUCAGAAAGUUGAGGUGGUAAAUUGUUUCGGCUGCUACAGCUCUCUAGCCAAAGUUGUUGACUGGCUAGUCUUUUACUGCCUCCCAACAUGUUAGUGACGUCCUGAGCUGAUGUACCCUAUGGCGAAGAGUGAGGCACUAGUUUCCUGAAGUAAUGUAUAGCAUGAGAUGGCACCCAUUCUAAACAGCAGCCGGCACCAACUCUGGCCGACAUUGGAGUGGACAAGACCCAGAUCCUGUGGGGAGGAAAAGUCUACACUAAACAGUAAAAGGGUGUGGGUUUUUCUCACUGAAGCUACCACUCGUGCAAUUUUGAUUGGUGAUUGUGACUUAGUCCUCCUCGUGAUCUACGGCAAGAAAGUUGAUUGUGGCCAUACCCGUUGGAGUAGUAAAGACAAACGUUCAAAUUGCUCUUCUUGAUGUAACCCCCAAGCUGUAGGCUGCUGUUAUUUUAAGAGAAAGUGCAGUGGCCUGUUGGACCACCUGGACAGCGAGGCGCGAGAGUUGGAAGUGUUUCCACCAUUACGUCAGACACUCCUCUGCCCCAGAUUUGGAGGAUUUGCAAUAUUGUAGGUUGUAGAAGGUCCUUCCAACAUACCUUCAGGAACAGUUGCAGAACAAUGGCUGGAAGUUAAAUGCUACAGAAAGUAGCAUAGUUGUCAUAAUUAGAGGGCCAAAGUGGUAUGGAAGAUUACAAUGUCAUCAAAGCAUUGACUGGCUUCAGUGUGGUUGUUCUACUCUGCAAAUCUACGAAAGUUGGUGGAUGUUGUCCUUGGUACUCUGGUGUUUUCACUGGCCUUUUGAUGAUCUUUGAGUCUUCAGUGGAUUGAAUCUAGGAGGAGCAGCUUCCCACAACCUGAAAGACAAUAGUCAAUAUUAAUGUUACACUGUAAACUAUGAAAUAAAUA